AGCGAACGCUGGCGGCAGGCCUAACACAUGCAAGUCGAACGAAGUCUUCGGACUUAGUGGCGGACGGGUGAGUAACACGUGGGAACGUGCCUUUAGGUUCGGACUAACUCAGGGAAACUUGUGCUAAUACCGAAUGUGCCCUUCGGGGGAAAGAUUUAUCGCCUUUAGAGCGGCCCGCGUCUGAUUAGCUAGUUGGUGAGGUAAAGGCUCACCAAGGCGACGAUCAGUAGCUGGUCUGAGAGGAUGAUCAGCCACAUUGGGACUGAGACACGGCCCAAACUCCUACGGGAGGCAGCAGUGGGGAAUCUUGCGCAAUGGGCGAAAGCCUGACGCAGCCAUGCCGCGUGAAUGAUGAAGGUCUUAGGAUUGUAGAAUUCUUUCACCGGGGACGAUAAUGACGGUACCCGGAGAAGAAGCCCCGGCUAACUUCGUGCCAGCCGCCGCGGUAAAAC
rnacentral:rRNA from 1 species